rnacentral:misc_RNA from 1 species
GAUGAAGAACGUAGCGAAAUGCGAUAAGUAGUGUGAAUUGCAGAAUUCCGUGAAUCAUCGAAUCUUUGAACGCACCUUGCGCUCCUUGGUAUUCCGAGGAGCAUGCCUGUUUGAGUGUCAUUAAUAUAUCAACCUUCUCUUUUUUGAGUUGUUUGGAUGUGGGGGUUUGCUGGCCUCUUAAAUGAUUCAGCUCCCCUGAAAUGCAUUAGCAGAACAACCUGUUCAUUAGCGUGAUAAUUAUCUAUGCUAUUGAAUGUGAGGGCAGUUCAGCUUUCUAACCGUCCUUGGACAAUUCAUCAUUAAUGUGACCUCAAAUCAGGUAGGACUACCCGCUGAACUUAAGCAUAUCAAUAAGCGGAGGA